rnacentral:rRNA from 1 species
CCUACGGGUGGCUGCAGUGGGGGAUAUUGCACAAUGGGGGGAACCCUGAUGCAGCGACGCCGCGUGGGUGAAGGAGCGUUUCGGCGCGUAAAGCCCUAUCGGCAGGGAAGAAGAUGACGGUACCUGACCAAGAAGCCCCGGCUAACUGCGUGCCAGCAGCCGCGGUAAUACGUAGGGGGCAAGCGUUAUACGGAUUUACUGGGUGUAAAGGGGGCGCAGACGGCAUGGCAAGCCAGGAGUGAAAGCCCGGGGCCGAACCGCGGGACUGCUUUUGGAACCGCAUGGUAGGAGUACAGGAGGGGCAGGCGGAAUUCGGGGGGGAGCGGUGAAAUGCGUAGAUAUUAGGAGGAACACCGGUGGCGAAGGCAGCCUGCUAGACUGUGACUGACGUUGAGGCCCGAAGGUGUGGGGAGCAAACAGGAGUAGAUACCCCAGUAGUC